CUGGGAGGGAGGGUCUGCUGCUGAUUGGCUGGAAUGUGUCUGCUGACUGUGAGGUACAGGGUCAAAGUUUACUCAAUGAUGAGUCCGCGGCGAACCAUUCGUGGCGAACCGUUCGUGAACAUCACUAAUUAUGAGGUACUGUCCAAGAAUAUUCCUAGCGAUUCAGCCUCUUUCCCCACUGAGAAAAACAAGUGAAAUCUAAUAGCGCUUACAGGGUUAUGCAAAGUGAGAAAAGCCAUAAAUUCUAAUUAAAUUUCAGAUUUAAGGCCAAAAUAGACAAACUGAAAACAGGAUUGACUACAUUUUUCUAACUGAAGUGAAUAAUAGUUUUACAGUUAACAGGCAUUUGAGAGCUGGUGUACCCCUAAUUAUUCUUUUUUCCCUAUGGAAAGCAACUGCCUACUUGUCUGCAAUAUGGAUUAUCUAUGUUUUAAAUAUUCUCUGUCUUUGUCACCAGAUAUACUGGAUUGGUCCAAUGAUGGGUGGAGUUCUUGCCAGUUUUGUCUACGAAUACCUAUUCUGCCCAGACCCGGAGCUCAAGCUACGAUUGCAGGCCAGUUUUAGAAAACCAGAGAAUGAAAAUGAAUCUGUCCAGCUCCACGUGAGACCAGGAGGAGAGUACAACAAACUGGAAACAAUUGCAUAGUUUUAUUAUUAUCUAAAAUACUCGCUUUUAAACAUAACACAUAUGUAUAUAUUGAAGAUUAAUUGGAAGAGACUUUCACCAUGUUUAGUCUUUAGAGCAGAGUGAGAGCUUAACUUGUCUUCCAUGGUACAGACUGGGUUAGAGAUGUUUUAAUGAUUCCCAAAAAUAACAAUUGUACAUACAAACUUUAUAAUGUGUUUUUAUACAAUACCUGAGUGCACGGAAUAUGAUUUGUAGUCUAUUAUGCUACUAGCCCGACCUUAAAAGUAACUUGCCACUGCAAGCCAUACUAUACCAUGCAGGGGUGAAAUUCUGAGUCCUGCUGGAAUGUGUAUACAUUUGUCUUUGUCUAUUUUGUGAAUGUGUUUACAGGCCAUUUAUAGUGUUUACAUGUCCAUACAUCUUUCAGGGGGCAAGUAAAAUUGAGCGCAUGAAAUGUACAUUUUUACAUUUUCUAUUUUAAUUCUACUGACUGUGUAUACUUUCUUUAAAACAGAUCUACUAUUUCUGUGCACAUUCUAAGGCAUGGGGGUUUUUCAGUGUCAGCAUUCCUGUAAUGUACCCAUGGGCGUAAAGAUAUUUAAGUAGGGAUCAAAGAAAUAACCUAGUGUUGCUGUGUGCUAUUUUUGUUCUUUAGAAUACAAAACCAUUAUAUACAUCUUUUGAAAUGAGCAGACUUUUAUUUAGCUCAGAUGUUUUUGACUAAUUUUGUAAGUUAAAUGACAACUCACUAAAAUGCUGUUAAGUUACAUUAGAUAUGCUUAUCUAACGAGUAUAGGCUAUAGAUCUAAAUACAUUAAUUUCCUAUUUGUUGUUACUACAAAUAUACAUAUUUUAUAAUAUGUUAUAACAACGUUAAUGUGCUACUAUAUAUAUAUAUAUAAAUAUGUUACUCAAAAAGGUGUCAAAAGAAAGGGUGUUAUAAUCCAUACAUUUACCCAGGAGUUGAGUUACUAUACUGUAAGUGGCUGUGCAUUGCAAAAUAUGUGGACAAAAUAUAUAUAUAUUUUUUUUAUUCACAUACACUUUAAUGUGAAAUGAAAAUUUAGAAUAUUAUGAAAACUCUGUUCUAAAUUUCCCAUACUGUAUGGAAUUUUAUUACCCACUAUUGAGACAAGUAAGUGAAAAUGUGUUAACAUUCAUUUGCAAAGAGAACUAAAGAGAUGGCAAAAUUUUAUUAUGGGAAUUUCUAUAUUUCUAUUGAUAUUUAUUUAUUUCUCUCUAUUUUCUAUUUUAAUGCUUAGAAUAUUAUUAUUAAUAUUAUUAUUGGUAUUUAUAUAGCGCCAGCAUAUUCCAUAGCGCUUUACAAUAUUAUCAGAGGGGGAGAUAAAUGACAAUAAAUGAGACAAUUACAAAAACUUAAAAUAAGAAAAAUAAGUUGAAGAGGACCCUGCUCAAAUGAGCUUACAGUCUAGAGCAUGGGUAUUAAACUCCGGCCCCCCAGAUGUUGCUGAACUACAUGAUUCUCUGCCUAGCUAUGUAAUUCAAAGAAUCAUAGGAGUUGUAGUUCAGCAACAUCUGGGGGGCCGGAGUUUUGAGGACCCAUGGUCUAGAGCAGGGAUAGGCAGAUGUUUUGGACUACACCUCCCUUGAUGCUUCGCCAGCAUUAUAGCUGUAAGAGCACUGUGGGAGAUGUAGUCCACAACAUCUGGAGUGCCGAAGGUUGCCUACCCCUGGUCUAGAGGAUGAUCAGAAUAUAUUUUGUAACAACUAUGUCAUGUAUUACAUUUUCUAAAAAUAGAGACAUUAAAUUCAAUUAGUUGUUAUUCAAUUAAUUUUAGAUUUUCCAAAUAAAAAUGAAACCAGUUAGAAAGCCUGAAUUGCACUAUAUAUAUAUAAAUGUUUUAUAUUCAGCGGUAAUGUCAGUACAUUGUGCAGUAUCAUGCUUUCAAUUGUUUUAAAAAACAUUUAUUGAAUGCUAUCUAAAAGUAUUGAUUUUAUUUCUUACUGCUAAGCUUGUGUACAAUGUAUUCAUGACUAUAUUCUGAAAUGCUAAAAAUUCCAUUCCAUUGUUCCACUCCACUGAAUUAUUACACUUAAGUUUAAUGAACCAAUUUGCAAGUAGUUGUAUCAUUGAUGGUUUCUCUAUUUUAUUGAUAUUGUUUAUUUGUGUCCAAGUAAUUUGAAAGAUUAUAUAUAACUGUGUGUUUGCAUUAGAAAGCUUCCUCCUGUUUUUAGAAAAAGAUAUGCUUAUGUACAGAUUACUUAAACCUUUAGACAGAAGGACAGGAAACAUUUUUUUUUAUAAUUCCAUAACAUUUAGGUAUAUGGUUAGAGCCACG
rnacentral:lncRNA from 1 species